CAGGAUCCCCGUUUACUUUUAUGGAAGCUCCAGAAUGUCUUUAACAGCUGCAAGGUAUUUAGCGUUGGUCGUGUUAAGCAGUUACUUCUGUCCAGCAGAGAGCUCGAAUGGGACGUCAUCGUACUUAAAAUCAAUGGAUUUUCGGCCUCUUUCUUUUGACAGUUUUGAGCUGUCGGAAAUCUCGAAGGCACUUGCAUUGAUGGAUCGAAAAGAACCUCUUCAUGUGCGCGUGCUCUAUGACGAGAUAUUUGAAGG